rnacentral:rRNA from 1 species
AGUGAACGCUGGCGGUAGGCCUAACACAUGCAAGUCGAACGGCAGCACAGUAAGAGCUUGCUCUUACGGGUGGCGAGUGGCGGACGGGUGAGGAAUACAUCGGAAUCUACUUUUUCGUGGGGGAUAACGUAGGGAAACUUACGCUAAUACCGCAUACGACCUACGGGUGAAAGCAGGGGAUCUUCGGAACUUGCGCGAUUGAAUGAGCCGAUGUCGGAUUAGCUAGUUGGCGGGGUAAAGGCCCACCAAGGCGACGAUCCGUAGCUGGUCUGAGAGGAUGAUCAGCCACACUGGAACUGAGACACGGUCCAGACUCCUACGGGAGGCAGCAGUGGGGAAUAUUGGACAAUGGGCGCAAGCCUGAUCCUGCCAUACCGCGUGGGUGAAGAAGGCCUUCGGGUUGUAAAGCCCUUUUGUUGGGAAAGAAAAGCAGCAGGUUAAUACCCCGCUGUUCUGACGGUACCCAAAGAAUAAGCACCGGCUAACUUCGUG